GAUGAACGCUGGCGGCGUGCCUAAUACAUGCAAGUCGAGCGAACAGACGAGGCGCUUGCUCCUCUGACGUUAGCGGCGGACGGGUGAGUAACACGUGGAUAACCUCCCUAUAAGACUGGGAUAACUUCGGGAAACCGGAGCUAAUACCGGAUAAUAUAUUGAACCGCAUUGUUCAAUAGUGAAAGACGGUUUUGCUGUCACUUAUAGAUGGAUCCGCGCCGCAUUAGCUAGUUGGUAAGGUAACGGCUUACCAAGGCAACGAUGCGUAGCCGACCUGUGAGGGUGGUCGGCCACAUUGGAACUUGGACACGGUCCAUGCUCCUACGAGAGGCAGCAGUAGGGAAUCUGCCGCAAUGGGCGAGAGUUUGACGGAGCAACGCCGCGUGAGUGAUGAAGGUCUUCGGAUCGUAAAACUCUGUUAUUAGGGAAGAACAAAUGUGGAAGUUAAUAUGCACGUCUUGACGGUAACUAAUCAGAAAGCAACGGCUAACUACGUG
rnacentral:rRNA from 1 species